AACGAACGCUGGCGGCGUGCCUAACACAUGCAAGUCGAACGAGAAAGGGGCUUCGGCUCCGAGUAAAGUGGCGCACGGGUGAGUAACACGUAGGUAACCUGCCUCUACGAUCGGGAUAACAUGUCGAAAGACGUGCUAAUACCGGAUAAGACCACGGUUUCUUCGGAAGCAGGGGUCAAAGAUAGCCUCUACUUGUAAGCUAUCACUUAGAGAUGGGCCUGCGUACCAUUAGCUAGUUGGUAGGUAACGGCCUACCAAGGCUAAGAUGGUUAGCUGGUCUGAGAGGAUGAUCAGCCACACUGGAACUGAGACACGGUCCAGACACCUACGGGUGGCUG
rnacentral:rRNA from 1 species